rnacentral:SRP_RNA from 1 species
GCUGGGCGUGGUGGCGCGUGCCUGUAGUCCCAGCUACUCAGGAGGCUGAGGCAGGAGAAUUGCUUGAACCCAGGAGGCAGAGGUUGUAGUGAGCCGAGAUCGCACCACUGCACUCCAGCCUGGGUGACAGAGCAAGACUCAGUCUCAA